rnacentral:rRNA from 1 species
AUACGGAGGGAGCAAGCGUUAUUCGGAAUCACUGGGCGUAAAGGGCGCGUAGGCGGGUUUGUAAGUCAGGUGUGAAAUCCUACAGCUCAACUGUAGAACUGCACUUGAAACUACAGACCUAGAGUAUGGAAGGGGCAGAUGGAAUUAGUGGUGUAGGGGUAAAAUCCGUAGAUAUCACUAGGAAUACCGAAAGCGAAGGCGAUCUGCUGGGACAUUACUGACGCUGAGGCGUGAAAGCGUGGGGAGCAAACAGGAUUAGAAACCCCGGUAGUCC